rnacentral:rRNA from 1 species
UACGGAGGGUGCAAGCGUUAUCCGGAUUCACUGGGUUUAAAGGGUGCGUAGGCGGACAGGUAAGUCAGUGGUGAAAUCUCUGGGCUUAACUCAGAAACUGCCGUUGAUACUAUUUGUCUUGAAUGUCAUGGAGGUAAGCGGAAUAUGUCAUGUAGCGGUGAAAUGCUUAGAUAUGACAUAGAACACCGAUAGCGAAGGCAGCCUACUGCAUGAAGAUUGACGCUGAGGCACGAAAGCGUGGGGAGCAAACAGG